rnacentral:rRNA from 1 species
GACGAACGCUGGCGGCGUGCUUAACACAUGCAAGUCGAACGGAAAGGCCCCUUCGGGGGUACUCGAGUGGCGAACGGGUGAGUAACACGUGAGUAACCUGCCCUUGACUUCGGGAUAACUUCAGGAAACUGGGGCUAAUACCGGAUAGGAAUCCUUGCUGCAUGGUGGGGGUUGGAAAGCUUCGGCGGUUUUGGAUGGACUCGCGGCCUAUCAGCUUGUUGGUGGGGUAGUGGCUUACCAAGGCCUUGACGGGUAGCCGGCCUGAGAGGGCGACCGGCCACAUUGGGACUGAGAUACGGCCCAGACUCCUACGGGAGGCAGCAGUGGGGAAUAUUGCACAAUGGGCGGAAGCCUGAUGCAGCAACGCCGCGUGCGGGAUGACGGCCUUCGGGUUGUAAACCGCUUUCAGCAGGGGCGAAGCUUGUGGUGACGGUACCUGCAGAAGAAGCACCGGCUAACUACGUG